AGAGUUUGAUCCUGGCUCAGGAUGAACGCUAGCGGGAGGCUUAACACAUGCAAGUCGAGGGGCAGCACGAGAUAGCAAUAUUUUGGUGGCGACCGGCGCACGGGUGAGUAACGCGUAUGUAACCUACCCUGUACAGGGGGAUAACCCGGAGAAAUUCGGACUAAUACCCCAUAAAGAUAUUUAGAGGCAUCUUUAGAUAUUGGCCGUUCCGGCGGUACGGGAUGGGCAUGCGUAACAUUAGCUAGUUGGUAAGGUAACGGCCUACCAAGGCUGCGAUGUUUAGGGGUCCUGAGAGGGUGAUCCCCCACACUGGUACUGAGACACGGACCAGACUCCUACGGGAGGCAGCAGUGAGGAAUAUUGGUCAAUGGGCGCAAGCCUGAACCAGCCAUCCCGCGUGCAGGAAGAAGGCGCUAUGCGUUGUAAACUGCUUUUCCAGGGGGCGAAUAGCUCUUACGUGUAAGGGUAUGACGGUACCCUGGGAAUAAGCAUCGGCUAACUCCGUGCCAGCAGCCGCGGUAAUACGGAGGAUGCGAGCGUUAUCCGGAUUUAUUGGGUUUAAAGGGUGCGUAGGCGGAUUAAUAAGUCAGUGGUGAAAACCUGCAGCUUAACUGUGGAACUGCCAUUGAUACUGUUAAUCUUGAGUAUGGUCAAGGUAGGCGGAAUGUGUAAUGUAGCGGUGAAAUGCUUAGAUAUUACACAGAACACCGAUUGCGAAGGCAGCUUACUGGGCCAUUACUGACGCUGAGGCACGAAAGCGUGGGGAGCGAACAGGAUUAGAUACCCUGGUAGUCCACGCCGUAAACGAUGAUCACUCGCUGUUGGCGAUACACAGUCAGCGGCUAAGCAAAAGCAUUAAGUGAUCCACCUGGGGAGUACGGCCGCAAGGCUGAAACUCAAAGGAAUUGACGG
rnacentral:rRNA from 1 species